rnacentral:rRNA from 1 species
AUACGUAGGUGGCAAACGUUGUCCGGAUUUAUUGGGCGUAAAGGGAGCGCAGGCGGUUUAUUAAGUCUGAUGUGAAAGCCUUCGGCUUAACCGGAGAAGUGCAUCGGAAACUGAUAAACUUGAGUGCAGAAAAGGAUAGUGGAACUUCAUGUGUAGCGGUGAAAUGCGUAGAUAUAUGAAGGAACACCAGUGGCGAAGGCGGCUAUCUGGUCUGUAACUGACGCUGAGGCUCGAAAGCAUGGGUAGCAAACAGGAUUAGAUACCCUGGUAGUCCAUGCCGUAAACGAUGAAUGCUAGGUGUUGGAAGGUUUCCGCCUUUCAGUGCCGCAGCUAACGCAUUAAGCAUUCCGCCUGGGGAGUACGACCGCAAGGUUGAA